UUCCGGUUGAUCCUGCCGGACCCGACUGCUAUUUGGGUGAGGAUAAGCCAUGCGAGUUGAAUGGGAAACCUAAAAAUCCCAUGGCAAACUGCUCAGUAACACAUGAUCAACUUGCCCUAUAGAGGAAAAUAACCUCGGGAAACUGAGGAUAAUGUUCCAUAGUUGAAUCGGCUUGGAAAAGUUUUUCAAUAAAAGGGAUAAGGAAAAUGGUCCUUAUCUGCUAUAGGAUAGGAUCGUGCUCGAUUAUGGUUGUUGGUGAGGUAAAGGCUCACCAAGCCGAUAAUCGAUAGGGGCCGUGAGAGCGGGAGCCCCGAGAUGGGUACUGAGACAACGACCCAGGCCUUAUGAGGCGCAGCAGGCGCGAAACCUCCGCAAUACACGAAAGUGUGACGGGGUUACCCAAAGUGUUCUAUUUAGAACUGUGGUAGGUGAGUAAUGUUCCCUACUAGAAAGGAGAGGGCAAGGCUGGUGCCAGCCGCCGCGGUAAAACCAGCUCUUCGAGUGGUCAGGACGAAUAUUGGGUCUAAAGCGCUCGUAGCCGGACAAGUAGGUUCUCGGUUAAAUCCGACAGCAUAACUGUUGGUCUGCUGGGAAUACCGCUAGUCUUGGAAGCGGGAGAGGACAGAGGUAGUCAUAGGGCAGGGGUGAAAUCCAGUGAUCCUAUGGCGACCACCGAUGGCGAAGGCAUCUGUCUGGAACGUAUUCGACGGUGAGGGGCGAAAGCUAGGGGAGCGACCCGGAUUAGAUACCCGGUUAGUCCUAGCCGUAAACGAUGCGGACUAGGUGUUACAGCGGCCAAGAGCCACUGUAGUGCCACAGCGAAGGCGUUAAGUCCGCCACCUGGGGAGUACGGAUGCAAGUCUGAAACUUAAAGGAAUUGACGGGGGCGCACCACCAGGAGUGAAGCCUGCGGUUUAAUUGGAUUCAACGCCGGA
rnacentral:rRNA from 1 species